GGAAUUUGAAGAUAAUUUUGAUGAUGAGAUAGACUUCACACCACCAGCAGAAGACACCCCCUCUGUCCAGUCCCCAGCAGAGGUCUUCACACUCUCAGUGCCAAACAUUUCACUUCCAGCCCCAUCCCAGUUCCAGUCUUCUGUGGGUAAGACCUUCUUUCCAAGCGUUGAGUGUAUGGAGGCCGAGUUGCAGUCACAGCGUGCUGGGUGCCCGUUUCUUCCUCUGCUUGUCUGUUUUUCUCCUACUCCUACUGAUGCCGCAUCGUGAGAGUCAGGCUCGUCUGCAAAGUCUGUCUAUCUCUCUCUGACUCCUGAAGUCUAGUGUAAGAAUAAAACAGCUCUGGCUGGAGAGAUGGUUCAGCAGUUAAGAGCUUUGGCUGCUCUUCCAGAGGUGCUGAGUUCAAUUCCAGCAGAUGCACGGAGGCUCAUAACCAUCUGUAACGGGAUCUGAUGUCCUCUUCUGUCAUGCAGGCAGACAUGAAUUAGAACACUCAUACAUAAAAUACAUAAAUAAGUAAAUCUUAAACAAAAUUAAACAAAA
rnacentral:lncRNA from 1 species